UGUACUGUCUUCUUUUUGGUGUCAGGGGCUGGAGAGACUCCUGCAAGAUAUUGAGGCAUUUAGAAUGUAUGGUUCUGUUGCCGUGGUUGUCACCUCCGCUCUACGCCAAAUUUAAGACUCAUUUCUUAAGGAUGUCUCUAUUUUCUGCUUUAUUUGCACAUUGAUGGCUCUGCUGCUCAGCUGGCCACGGCCGCCCGGCGUCUGAGAUAGAAUUGUGUUAAUAUGAGAAAGGGAACGGCCGAUCAUGAUUAGCAGGCAGACGGCAUGCAGAUAGCAUCUGGCGGGUUUUCUCCGUUUUUAUAUGAAAGCGUUCACUUGUUUGCUGGUAAACACGAGGUUUUAACUUUUUAUCUGGGUAGUGGUGACCGUUUGUUUCACUCUCCCCUCCUUUUUACUUCCUAUUCAUUAGCUUUUCCGUUUGGAAAGCUGCAUACUUGUUAGCGGUAGUUUGGUGUCUUGACUCUGAAGCUUUCUCUUCCAGCAGAGGUGGGAUCUGUAUCCCUCCCAUCCUAGGUUACCAAGAAGACUUUUUCUCCCCUUACUUUCUAUUGAAUUUGUGUCUUUCCCAACAUUUAAACUUACACUAGGGAUAAGUUUGCUCGGGUUGUUUUUGACGUAGGACUAUUAAAUAUUCUCAUUUUGAAACUUCCUAAAGGUUUAUUGGUUUGUCAUGUCUGCACCGAUCCAGUUUCGCAUAACUCUUAAAAUUUAAAGCUUUAAAGUACGGUUCGCAAUUGUAUUGUCAAGACAUGGCCCUAGAGCUUGUUCUUCAAGUUUUGGCUGUACAGUUGUCAUUGUUUCAGUCAAGUGCAAAAGAGGUUAUUCCUGUUUAUUUAGUGUUAAUAGCUAUUUACAGUUAAAACUUUAAAGACUCAUAGAAGUAGGUCUGCUGUAUUUUAAAGAUCUCAUCAUUCUUGUGGGAGAGACACAACACCAACACCAGGAAAGGCAACAGAUUGCUUCUGUCAUAUCGCUUUGCUGUUUUGGAGUGUACUUAAAGGAUUAUGAUUGAUAAGGCUGUCUUGCCAGAGAAUGUUGACACAGGUGUGCAUCGUUAUCUUAAUUAAGAUCCUGAGAAAAUGUUGUCUAUAAAUGGUGACAUAAGAAGGGCGGCAUAUUUUUGUACAGUUUUGCUUUUGGAGAAUUUAAUUGCACUUGAAACCUGUCUUUGAGCUUCCAGAUUUUGUGAGCACUUUAGCAACAGAAGUUUUAGAGAGAAAUGAUAGUUUAAUGUUAAGUGUUCUGGCAUGUACUAAUACUACUUGUGGCUUUUUGGCAAUGCCUGUGUCGGCUUUCUUUGUGCUCUACCUUUGUGGAAUAAUGGUUUCUAAUUUUGAAAGAAAAGCAUAAAAUAGAGCAGUAUUUUAUUAAGCAAACACUUGUUAGUGUUCAGAAUAAGUCUGUAGAGGAGGGCAUGCUUAAUGUGCAGAAACAGGAAUAUAAUAAGAGGUAAAUAUAUGAGAAAUUUAUGCUAUUUCGUUUUUUUGGAAAAGAAACAGUCUCCUGGGGUGCCUUAAUGAUCUAAAACAAUUUCUUUUUCAUAUCAUUAAAUACCUAGAUACAAUGUUUACGGAAUGCCUUGUUUUUAUUUCUAAAAAUAGAAGAAAACUGUUUUAUUUCUUCCAAAAUACUGUUCUGUGUGUUUGAAUUGAUGAGUAAGUGAAGAUAGUGCAUUUAGUCUCUUACUAGUUUAAGGAUCUGAGUCAUAACCUGGGUGACCACUAAAAUAAUAUUGCUGUUCUUUACUACAAAUCUCGGAAUGCAAAAACACUGGCAAGAUGGAUGCUGUUGAUGAUAUUACCCUUGGCUUACCCAGCACCUAAUACCUUUUAACAUAAGUAUUGCAUUAAGAUUUUCUCUUCUCUUUGUAGCUUAGGAUUUCCUGGAAGCUGGCUGUCUAUCAGUGUGUAUGUAAGAAGUGUGUAUGUUUUUCUUUAAUAUUAAAAGUCACUGUAAAAAGAGGAAAUGAAAGUGGAGGAGACCAUAGGCAUAUGAUCGGAAAAGCCAGGUGUAGAGUCACAGCUCAUUCUUGACUCCAAGGAUAAUUACCUGGUUAGAAUUACAUGGUAAACUAAAAGAAAGACUUACGUAGAUUUGUUUGCUAAAACUAAAACAAGACCAUUAAUUUUGAGAUAAUUGCUUUAUUUAUCUCCCAUACCACCCCUAAUCAAAAUUUUUUUCCCCUCUGGCAGCUAUGAUGAGCAUUCUUAUGCUGUUAUCCAUGUGUUAUUUUCAAAUUUGAUAUAUUGCAUUAAAAGAGAUGAAAUAGGAAUAUGAACUAAUUAUCCAUUUUAACGAAUAACUCAAUAAUUAUUAUUAUGUGUAUACAUUCUAGAAAUCUUAGGAAAAAAUGUUCUUUAGUUGAUAACAGGAAAGUAAAUUAAAUCAUGUAAUCCUGAGUGAAUUAAAUAUGCUCUUCAAAAUAGAUGAUGAACAUAGCAUCAUACUUUGGAAUAAUGUUUUAACUCUGGGAUAGUACAGCCUGUUUUGAGUGGUAGUAUUUCAUUAUCUUUAUAUGUUUCUCUUCAAUAUCUCUUUUUUGUUGACUCCUAUAUUUUAACAUCUUUUUGGUAUAUUUGUUAGCUGUUUAUAGGGAAUAAUUUUUCUUAAUAGAAUAGCAGCUGGUGCAACUCUAAGAACAUGUCAAAUCUAGGAAUUCUUUUUUCCUUUUUCAAUAAUGAGUGGUUUGCUUUCAUAGCACUGCUCUGAAGUGUGAUGCUGAAGGCUUAUUUCUGCAUAAAUCUGCAGUGUUUUUAUAGCUGUAGUGUACCUAAGCACCAAUUUAGCUUAGCAAAUUAACUUAGAUGCUUCAAAAUUGAAAACCAGUAUAUUCUAAUGUAGUUUGAGUUUAAGUCUUUAUUAGUAAGGAUGCACUUAACAUUUGUUCAGGAGAAGAGAAUAUAAUUUUCUCCUGCAGUUGUCAUUUACGUAAUCCAUUUUUCUAGUCUUUUCUCAGGCUAAUGAUAUUCCAUACCUUGAUACAGCUUUUAUUUGUUUAUUUGCCAUAAUAUGGAGUGAUACCUUCGAGAAAAUUAGAUAUUUGAAUCUAAUAUCCCAAAAGUAUUACUUAGUUUUCUGUGUUUCCUUAAACAGAAUCAUUUCCAUUUUCGGUGCAGGUGUUAAGUGUGAUGCUUCCAUAAUACAUUUGGAUGCUGUCAGCUAAGUUCACUUCUGAACUAAGGGGUUCCUCCAAAUGUUGGCUGAAAUUCAUCCCAAGGCUGGUCUGCAAGUGAGUGUCUGCACACAGUUUGCUUGUAUGUGGAGUCGAUCCAAAAUAGCAUCAAUGUUGGUUUUACCAAAGUAUUUAUUAUUGAUAAUAGAGGCUAAGUACAAAAUGUAGAGAAUGUCAGCUACUUGAGGCCUUUGAUUAUUAAAAAUUUUAUUAAUGCAUUAAACAAGAGUACAGUAAAUAGAUAAAUUUUAGGUUCAUGAAAUAAAACUGAAUAAUUUAUUUUUACUUACUAUUUAUCAUGGAAUUACUUUGAAUAAUUUAUUUUUAAUGGUAUAAUUGGACAGUAAAAUUUAUAAACUCAGUGCUUUUCAUAAAAAUCAAAGUGAAGUUUGUAAUAUUUUAUACAAAUAGAAUUAUUAUUUAAGAGAAAUAACCUGUUUAUGCCUAAUUACAGUUUUUAAUCAUUUCAGUUACCUAUUUCUUUUAAGAAUAAAUUUAGUGGGAAUAUCAGUUCCAGUCAUGGGUACCAAACUUUUUUAGUGACAGAGUACACACAGGUAUGUAAAACUUGUCAUUUCUCAUCAAAUAGAGGCUGCUGAAUAUAGGCAGGUAAGAAAAGCUAUGAGAAAGAAUUGUUUUGCAGAAUAUUUGUCUAGUUGUCAGAGCAAGGAACUGAAUUUAUUGACACAGAACAUUUUAUUAAGUAAAAAAAAUGGUUCUUAUAACAAAAAAAAAAGCUAAUUUUACAGAAGGCAGUAGUUAAUAUAGCCGCCAAUAAAAUAAAUGUUUCUCUGAAUACUUUCCGAGGCAUUACAGUGAUUUUUAACUAAUAUGAAGUGAUAUAUAAUAAUUUUAAAGUAACAUCCUUGAGUUUUCCUAUUAUUAAUUGCUUAUGGAAAUUGGGUUUCACGUAUGACUGAGAGCUAAAGCAUUACAGUGAGUUAGAAAACACAACACAAAUGUAAAGAAAAUGUUAGGUGGUGAGUAAUCUGAUUCCUUUUUGUUUGCCUUUAAGCUUAGUUUUUUGUUUUGUUUUACUUUGUUUUAAACCAUGUAUAAAAUUGUUGAAUUUAAAAGAUAAGAGGAUUAAGUAAUUUCUUUUUUCCUCCUAAGGAUAAAUGUAGGAAAAAUCUAAACACAUAGGCAGAUUGGUUGAGUUUUAUAUCUGUUAUCGGCCACAUUUAUUAAGAUUCAUAUUUCAUGUAUAUUAGAGGUAUUCACAUGUAUUAAAAUUCUUAUAUUCCUUCUAUAUAAAAUAGAUGUAGGGGGUUCCCACUCUUGAAAAUAUGAAGAAAAGAUGUCCUUUCAGCAAUAAUGGGUUAUGGUUGAUUAACUGAGAAGGUUGUAUUAAACGUUCUCUAGUAGAAAUGGCUAAAGAGCAUGCUUUUUGAGAAGUGUAUCAUCUAGGAAGAAAAUCAAAUGGAGUAUUGGUAAUUAAAUUGUAAUUCCAUGAAGGAAGGAAGUGGUGCAAAAGAUGAAGCUAACUAUUCCUGUUUUUCUUUUUAAGAGUCUGCAAUUCAUAAUGGAGCUACUGUACUGGCUAUUGGAAGGAGGAGAUUCUGAAGAUAAGGAGGUAAAACCUGUUUAGAAAUUAAAAAUGAGUUACGAUUUAAAGAAAAUUCAGAUGACUCAUUGUGAGUGCUAGUUCUCUUGUAGGAUGCCACUGGAAAUGUUGAAAUGAAAAAUAUUCAGCCGUUGGUCUUUGAAAUUUCCUGUGAUGUGUUUCAAUCUAGAUGCAAAGAACAUGGAAAAAUCAAAGUGCUCGAGUGGUUUAAAUAUGUUUUGGGUAUUCCUGUUUAUAGACUAUAAUACUUUUCCAAUUAAAAUCCUCAGUUGUCACGCAGAAGAAGGUUAAGCUGUAUUUGAUUGCCAGUUUUACUGAAAAUGCUUAGUAUUUUACAGUAUCACCAAAUAUAUUUUGUUUAGCCAAGGUAUAGGAAAAAUAAAAUAAAUUGUAUAGGUUGACUUUUUUCUAAAAUGUCUUUAUUGGAUUGAAUGAAUGUUUAUACCUGAAAAAAAAAGGUUCAAAAAAAUUCCUUUUUCUAUCAGAGUCAUUCUUUUGACAAUCAGAUAUUAGACUAGGUUUAAAAUAACUUUCUAAUAUGACUCAUAUUUAUGGGAGGAAAAAGACUUGAAAGAUAUUCCUAUGUGUACUUUAAUUUUCUGUAAUAGUCCCUCUGGAAUAGAAUAUCUCUUCCUCAAACAAAUCUAUUGGCUCAUUUCAUAUACAAGAAAAAGUUGCCCUAAAUGGCAGAGUUUCAUCUCUGUAAAGAAGGCUGACAUCCACUUCCUUCACAGAAUCCCUGCAUUUGGGUAAUUGAGUAAUGAUAGAUUACCUUGCCAUUGGGAAAUACCUUGUUGUGGCCUUUGUAGCAGCUAUAGGAAGAUGGAAGAAUUCUUUUGUAUAGACAGGUCUCUAGCCUCUUUGGUGUGGACACUGUGAAGGGGUACAUCUGGUGAGAAGGAGUGCUUAGGGAAGGAACUGGGAAGGUCCACAAAGGCUGAUGAUGACAAAGAAUCCAAGGGCUAUGAUGAAUUCUUAAGCUUAGAUCUCAGAGUCAUAAAGUAAAUUUAUUAGGCUAGAGAGAUUUCCUUUUUUAUUUUUGAUCAAACUUUAUUUUUUCAGAUUGUUAAGUUCACAUGCAGUUGUACAAAAUAAUACAGAGAUCUUUGAACACUACCCAGUUUCUCCUAAUAGUAACUUCUUGCAAUAUACUGUAUAGCACAGCAUCACAACCUGGAUACUGACAUUGAUGCAGUCAAGACAGAGAACAUUUAUAUCAUGAGGAGGAUCCCUCAUUACCGCCCUUUGAUAUCCACCCCUACUUCCAGACCAUCUCACUCCUCCCUUAACCCUGGCAACCACUAGCAUGUUCUCCAUUUCUAUAAAUUUGCCUUUAUAGGAAUGUUAUAUAAUUGCAAUUAAAGUGUGUAACCUUUUGGGGUUUGACUCACCCGGCAUCAUUUUCUGGAGAUUCAGCUUAUAUGUGUCAAUAGUUUGUUCCCUUUUUUUUAGUUCAGUAGUAUUCUGUGGUACGUGUGUACCACAUCACUCAUCAAUUCGGACUUCUGGGUUGUAUCUGGUAUUUGAUUAUUACAAAUAGAAGUACUAUAUAUAUAUUCGUGUAGAGGUUUCUGUGUGAACAUAAACUUUCAUUUUCCUGGGACAGAUGCCCACGAGUGAAAAUUGUGAGUCAUAUGGUAAUUAUGUAGAGUAUUUUUUUUUUGAGACGAUUUGUUUAUGAUUUUAAAACAUAAAAAUAUAAGUUGUAGCCAAAUAUAAGGAAGGAUUUUUCCACAAUCUAGACUUUAUUCUUAUUUUAGAGAAAUACUUUUGAAAAAAUUGCUUUAUUGGCAAACAAUUCCUAUGUAAAGGAAUAAAAGACGCAUAUACUCUAGGAAAGAUGUUGCAAAGCUGACAGGCAACUUUGAGAAAGAUGAGGGCAGUUUUCCAGUGUUACUGGAGACUUGACAUUCAAGGAUGUAUUAUGAUAGUUUCUGAAUUGAUAGAUUCUUUAGCGUUUGUCACUACCCUCAGGCCUGCAGUUUUUAUUUGUAGAAUUAACUCAUCUUUACAAUGCUUUGUUGAGUGCUGUUGCAGAAAAUGCUCAUGUAAUUCAAUUAUAUGCAGUUAGGAAAAAGAAGUAUCUUUUUCUAGUACAUGGCCCCUAAAAUGAUGACUUUCCACAAUGCUGAAUGGAGGAAACAGCUCUGUUUCCAUCAAACUCUGGUGGAAAUUAUACAAAGUUAUAUUAUGCUUUAUGAGACAUAGUGAGGUAGUACACAACCAUAUAUGCUAUAUUAUUGGGGAGACCCACUGAAAGAAUUUUCAAGGAUAAUUUUUGCUCUGAUUUUCUAUCAUGUAUAUUGACUUUAUUGAUUGAUUGAUUGAGAUGGAGUCUCACCCCGUCACCCAGGCUGAAGUGCAGUGGUGCAAUCUCUGCUCACUGCAACCUCCGCCUCUCAGGUUCAAGUGAUCCUCGUGCCUCAGCCUCCCGAGUAGCUGAGACUAUAGGUGUGUGCUACGAUGCCCAGCUAAUUUUUGUAUUUUUAGUAGAGACAGGAUUUGGUAGCCUGGUCUCGAACUCCUGACCUCAGGUGAUCUACCCACCUUGGCCUCCCAAAAUACUGGGAUUACAGGUGUGAGCCACCGUGCUGGCCAAGUAUAUUGACUUUAAAACGUUACCGGCUGGGCGUGGUGGUUCACGCCUGUUAUCCCAGCACUUUGGGAGCCCGAGGCGGAUGGAUUACCUGAAGUCAGGAGUUCGAGACCAGCCCAACCUGGUGAAACCCCGUCUCUACUAAAAAUACACAAAUUAGCCGGGCGUGGUGGCAGGCGCCUAUAAUCCCAACUACUGGGAAGGCUGAGGCAGGAGAAUUGCUUGAACCUGGCAGGCGGAGGCUGCAGUGAGCCAAGACUGCGCCACUGCACUCCAGCCUGGGCAACAAGAGCAAAACUCAGUCUCAAAAAAAACAGAAAAAAAAAGUUACCACGGGUGAAACAUUGGGCUGGUCACAGUGAUCCUUCUAACAGCAGUCAAUAUUAUAAAUCUAGCUUUUUUUUUUGAGUGAGAUACUAGGCCCAGGGAACCCGAGUCUUUCAAUCCUCAUGAAUAUAGUUUAAUCUUUAGCUCAUUAUGGUCAUGACCAUAGUUAAAUAAAUGACACGAGAUAAUAAAAUAGUCUUUGCCCUUAAAACUGACCUGGGUAAAAGGAUGUACACUUGAAUCUUUGAAUACCAGAAUAGUCAUUCAUUCAUUGAGCCGUGUUGUAGCAUCCCAUCUUCUGGCACUUCCAGCACUGGGAACCCAUCAUAAAGAAGGCACUACAGGCCAGGCGCUGUGGCUCACGCCUGUAAUCCCAGCACUUUGGGAGGCCAAGGCAGGCGGAUCACCUGAGGUCAGGAGUUCGAGACCAGCCUGGCCAACAUGGUGAAACCCCAUCUCUACUAAAAAUACAAAAAGUAACUGGGCAUGGUGGCAGGCGCCUGUAAUCCCAGCUACUUGGGAGGGUAAGGCCAGAGCAUCGCUUGAACCCGGAAGGCAGAGGUUGCAGUGAGCCAAGAUCCUGCCAUUGCACUCCAGCCUGGGGGAUAAGAGCGAGACUUCGUCUAAAAAAAAUAAAAAUAAAAAGGCACUACAGCACCUGUUCUCUUAGUGUAGCUCUAUUAGCUCUUAGACUAGGGGGUAGGGAUGGGAAAAAGUAAAAAGAAACUGAGAAACCAAUCUAAUUACGCAUAAUCAGAAAUCCAAAGCUUCCAGAAUUCAUGAGGAAAAAGAACUGCAGCUGAUGGAGUAGGCAUUACAGAGAAUGAGAGGCUUGCUUUUUUUUUAAGUUUCAUUUUAUUUGUAAUUGACACAAUAGCACAUAUUUACGGGAUACAGUGUGACAUUUUAAUACAUUUACAUAUUGUGUAAUGAUCAAAUUAGGAUAAUUAGCUUAUGUAUCACUUCAAAAACAUAAUUUCUUUGUGAUGAGAACAUUCAAAAUCUUCUAGUAUUUUGAAAUACAUAAUGCAAUAUUGUUAACCACAAUCACCCUACUGUGCAAUAGAACACCAGAGUUUACUCCUCUUUUCCAUCUGUAGCUUCAGACCCAUUGACCAAUCUCUCCCCUUCGCCCCCCACCACCCCCCCCCCCGCCGUCACCACUCUCCUCCCCUCCCCAGCAAGAGGCUUGAAUCUUGAAGGAGCACAUCAGAUAGAAAGAGGGAAAUCAACUGGGACAUGGUUUGUUGGAAGUGGGGUGGAAUCUGGUUUGUUUACAGUUUCAGAGUUUGAGGCAUCAAAAGUGUAUGUCAUUGCCCAAAAGUAUUUAACAGCUUUCUAUGUUUUAGGAAUUCACUAGAAAUAAGGCAUGCUUUUUAAAAAAGAAAAAAAAUAGUAAUCUUUGAAUUUAAAUAUGUGGGUUUCCAUGAAAAACAAAUGAGUACCCUUCCUUGAAAAACUACUACUUUGAAGAGUCUCGUAGGUUCUGAGGCUCGUGUGUGUGUGUGGGUGUGUGUGUAUAAAACAUUUUCUUUUAUAUUUGGUAAGAAGGAAUAAGGUAUUUUAUACUUUUCUGGUCUGUUAAAUGCAUAAUCUAUAAGACUAUAAUACUUUAAAAAAUUUUAGUUUAUCUGAGGCUUAAAAUAACAAAAGAACUUAAAGCUCCUGUGGAAGAGCUCCAAAAUUAAAACUGUAAGAUCACAUAUAGAUAAAACGUUAUAUAAAGCAGGCUUUGGGACCCCAGGCAUGAUGGCUCAUUCCUGUAAUCCCAGCACUUUGGGAGGCCAAGGUGGGUGGAUCACCUGAACCCAAAAGUUCGAGACCAGCCUGAGCAACAUGGUGAAACCCUGUCUCUACAAAAUACAGAAAAAAAAAAUAUUAACCAAUUUUUUUAACCUCCCAGCUACUUGGGAGGCUGAGAUGGGAGGAUGGCUUGAGCCUGGGGAGGUCGCGGCUGCAAUGAGUCAUGAUCGCGCCACUGCACUCCAGCCUGGGUAAUAGAUUGAAACUCUGUCUCCACACACACACACACAAAUGACUUUUGGUAAGACUGUACAUAGAGUUUAUGGCCUUAUUAAGAAACUCUUUUGAGCAACCUAAGAAAACACAAGUAUUUCUGUACAUUACUUUGUUAAAGUGUACAGGAUAAUAAGAGAGAGCUAAGAGCCUUUUCUAAAUGUGCAUCCAAUUUUAAGAGGCUAAAAUAGGAAGCUUUCAUAUAGCCAAGGCCCCAUUAACUUGGGAAUCUGGAAAACAGAAGACGUAAGUUUCUAUCAGAGUUUCUUUAAAUUUAUGUAAAUCAUAAAUUUGAGCAAGGCAGUUAUAAAAGACAUUAAAAUUAAGAUACUCAGGAUUUUAUAUGUAAUAAUAUUGAUUCCAAUAUCUUCAACACUAUGGCAUUGCCAAUGAGGAGACCAAAAUGAAUUGUAUUUUAUGAAAGGGCUAUAUUAGACCAGUGACUUAAAAGUUCCAAGUACAUAUAAUGACAAAGCGUUGUGGAAUCAUCUUGUACUACUGUUUAUGUAGUAGUUUAAAAAAAAAAAGAAAAAGAAAAUGGUGCAAUUUUAGACAGUUUAAAAAAAUUUUACAAAUACUGCAAAUCAUAGGUUGGUUACCACUAGACUUCCUGACUGCAGUGGUUGCUGUAUUCACUGUACAUUCUUUUAAAACACCAGGCACUUUAUAAUUUUGUCUAUAAUUGUUUAUAUAUUUUUUCUUCACAACAUGUUUUAGAAUAACUUAUUGCUAAGUUACUUCAACGUAUGUGCCAUCUUUAAACUUUAUAUAUGAGUAUACUAAAGUGUCAUUUGCAAGACACAUCUAUGCACUAUUUUUUUUUUCAGGAGCCUCUUUAUUCAAAAUACUUUUAAAUGCAGUGCAUAAAAAUAGCAGGCCACUUCCACUUGCAGGCUUUUGAAGCUGGAGAAGACUUGUUUUUCACAUGAGGAAACUGAGUCCCAGCAAGGUGAAAUGACUUGCUAGUAAGUGAUACGAUUAAACUUAUUUUUUGACUCCAAAGCACAUUCUGCCAACUUGAAGAUGCUUGUCCCAACUUCUGGAAAUUCACCCUAUCAACGUCUGUAUCACAACCCCAUUCUUAAUAAUAGUUUCUUCACAUUAGAAAUAAAUGUCAGAAAUAAAUGUCUACUUGUCAUUUGUACAUGUCAUGCAAACAUCUUGGCACCAGAUAUGGGUACAAGUAGAAAGCAUCAGCGUGUUCAUCUAAGAACUGGAUUUUAUCCAAUGGAAUGUUCUGUUUAUUCAUUGCUAUUCAUGCAUACCUGCUGUGUUUUAACGUUGUGAUAAAUCCAGAGAAUCAAAUAUGAAUAAAAAUACUCCCUGAAUUCAACAAAGUAGGCAUUGGCUCUGGCCAGGGGACAAAAUGUUAAAUGGCAUGCAGUCUUCACCCUGGCACAACUUGAAGCUUAUCACCUAUUGUAGAGAUGAAGCCAUAAACAGAUCAUUUCAGCACAGCAUGAUAAGGGGGAGCUCCAGGGAUCAUGGUAGUACAUGGGCCCAGUCCCUAAUUAAAUCUGGUGGAGUGUGGGCAAAGUUAAGGAAGGCUUCCUAGAGGAGAGGGCAUUGGGGUUGAUCCCUGGCAGGAACAGGGCUCCAGGCAAGGGGAACAAAGACCAGU
rnacentral:lncRNA from 1 species